AGUGAACGCUGGCGGUAGGCCUAACACAUGCAAGUCGAACGGCAGCACAGUAAGAGCUUGCUCUUACGGGUGGCGAGUGGCGGACGGGUGAGGGAUACAUCGGAAUCUACUUUUUCGUGGGGGAUAACGUAGGGGAACUUACGCUAAUACCGCAUACGACCUACGGGUGAAAGCAGGGGAUCUUCGGACCUUGCGCGAUUGAAUGAGCCGAUGUCGGAUUAGCUAGUUGGCGGGGUAAAGGCCCACCAAGGCGACGAUCCGUAGCUGGUCUGAGAGGAUGAUCAGCCACACUGGAACUGAGACACGGUCCAGACUCCUACGGGAGGCAGCAGUGGGGAAUAUUGGACAAUGGGCGCAAGCCUGAUCCAGCCAUACCGCGUGGGUGAAGAAGGCCUUCGGGUUGUAAAGCCCUUUUGUUGGGAAAGAAAAGCAGCAGGUUAAUACCCCGCUGUUCUGACGGUACCCAAAGAAUAAGCACCGGCUAACUUCGUG
rnacentral:rRNA from 1 species